rnacentral:misc_RNA from 1 species
UCCUGCCCGUCCACCGAACGGUCGGCAGGCGAUCCGCGUCGGUCGUGCUGGGUGGUAUGGUUCCCCAGAGGCCGGUUCUUGUGCUGCCUACCCCUUCAGGGGAAGCGGGCCACUUGACGUAAGGCUCCAUCCGGCGCCCUCCAACGGGCGCAGGAGGACAACGGAGCACCCCCCGCGUUCCACCGGGCCUGCCUCGGUCGCGUGGCGCGCGGGGACGUGCGAUGCUCUCGGACCCAGCGAACGCCGUGGGCGAGGACUCACGUCCCAGUCCCUAUAGAAGCUCCCAUAUAAUGCAUGACGGCCGCUCCCGCCCCCCGACCGCCCCGACGGCGAGGGGGUGAGGCGCGGCGUCGCGGAGGAAUGC